GCUGGCGGCAGGCCUAACACAUGCAAGUCGAGCGCCCUGUUUCGGCAGGGAGCGGCGGACGGGUGAGUAACGCGUGGGAACGUGCCCUUUAGUUCAGAAUAGCCACUGGAAACGGUGAGUAAUACUGGAUACGCCCUUCGGGGGAAAGAUUUAUCGCUAAAGGAUCGGCCCGCGUUGGAUUAGCUUGUUGGUGGGGUAAUGGCCUACCAAGGCGACGAUCUAUAGCUGGUCUGAGAGGAUGAUCAGCCACACUGGGACUGAGACACGGCCCAGACUCCUACGGGAGGCAGCAGUGGGGAAUAUUGGACAAUGGGGGCAACCCUGAUCCAGCCAUGCCGCGUGAGUGAAGAAGGCCCUAGGGUUGUAAAGCUCUUUCAGAUGUGAGGAUGAUGACAGUAGCAUCAGAAGAAGCACCGGCUAACUUCGUGCCAGCAGCCGCGGUAAUACGAAGGGUGCUAGCGUUGUUCGGAAUUACUGGGCGUAAAGGGCGUGUAGGCGGAUGAUCAAGCUAGAGGUGAAAGCCCAGGGCCCAACCCUGGAACUGCCUUUAGAACUGAUUGUCUAGAAUCCGUAAGGGGAGUGUGGAAUUCCUAGUGUAGAG
rnacentral:rRNA from 1 species